AUUGAACGCUGGCGGCAUGCUUUACACAUGCAAGUCGAACGGUAACAGGCCGCAAGGUGCUGACGAGUGGCGAACGGGUGAGUAAUGCAUCGGAACGUGCCCAGUCGUGGGGGAUAACGCAGCGAAAGCUGUGCUAAUACCGCAUACGAUCUAUGGAUGAAAGCGGGGGACCGUAAGGCCUCGCGCGAUUGGAGGGGCCGAUGUCAGAUUAGGUAGUUGGUGGGGUAAAGGCCUACCAAGCCGACGAUCUGUAGCUGGUCUGAGAGGACGACCAGCCACACUGGGACUGAGACACGGCCCAGACUCCUACGGGAGGCAGCAGUGGGGAAUUUUGGACAAUGGGCGCAAGCCUGAUCCAGCAAUGCCGCGUGCAGGAAGAAGGCCUUCGGGUUGUAAACUGCUUUUGUACGGAACGAAACGGUCUGGGUUAAUACCCUGGGCUAAUGACGGUACCGUAAGAAUAAGCACCGGCUAACUACGUGCCAGCAGCCGCCGUAAAAC
rnacentral:rRNA from 1 species